GAUGGUGCAGGAGUGAGGAUGAGGAGGAUGGUGCAGGAGUGAGGAUGAGGAGGAUGAUGCAGGAGUGAGGAUGAGGAGGAUGGUGCAGGUGAUGGUUCUAAAUCCCUGCUCCAGAUCCCGGCGCUUCCCCAGGCACAGCUUUCCUCCCCUCCCUGCAAGGAGCCUUCUCCAGGUAAAAAUGGAAUCUUCUCGUUAGGAAUCAAUAACAGCUCGGCAGAAAGGUGAGCUGUAAAUCUGAUCUAACUCAAUAAAUAACAAAGAUUUGGUUUCCCCACAAUAAUAUCAGUUGGAGGGGGAUUCUGACUGUGCUGUGCCCUGUGUUUGUGUGUGAGAGCUGUGAAACUUGGGAAUGCUUGGCAGGCAGGUAAAGCUUUUCCUUUAAAGUCUGAAGUAAAUUCAUUCUGCAGAAAUUUGCAUCUUCUGGGCCGGGGAUGAAGCUGAAACCUUUGCAGGAAAGGAUCACAGGAGGGGAAAUGCAUAAAUCUCCAUCUGGAGCCAAGUAUGUGGGAAGGGGAUGGGGAGCAGGAGUGCCAGAGCAGGCUGAGAGCGAAAUUCCAAGGGAAAAGGGAAGAAAGGAAGAGGAAUGUCCCAGGAAUUAAACUCUUCUAAUGCUCAGUACUUUCAUCAGAAGCAAAGCACUGGAAAGCUGUAACCCAAAUAAGGAAAUUAGAGCAAAAAUUAACAAUAUUCAACUAUUCAGAUGUCAAAAGAACCAGCGGAGUUAUUGGUGUUAGAGGUUAUUGCCAGAGGGGAAAACUCAGCACGUCCUGGGUAAUUAAGCUUCACUGGAGAGCAUGGAUCCCUUCUCCAGACUCAAAUAAUAUUUUAUUAGAAGAAAGCAUGAUUCAUUGAAAUGGUGCACUGCAGUAUCUGUGGGAAGGAAAGCUGGGAAGGACACAAGAGGAGCUCAGCUGUGGAAAACCAAUCCAAGGAACCAUUGCCCCACAAAGGAUCCCAGCCCACAGUGAGAAACAACAGAAAGGAGCAAAGGAUUUCCAAGCCAACCUUUGAAUGUGGUGCUGGAGCCAAGGUCUGUUUUUCCAGCUGGGAGAAGCACGGCUGUGUGAUCCAGAGUCCUUUCUGCAUGAGGAGAAGAGAAGCAGCAAAAAGAAGUGAGCAGAACAACCUCAACCUCUCCAUAUUACUGACUACUCAUAACUCAUCCAACACUGCAACUCCUUUGCCUGUUGCUUUUGCUCCUUGGCAAGAAAAGAGCAUUUAUAUUUAAUUAUUUUAUUUUUAUUUCCCCCCCUUUCUCUCCUUUAAGUUUUCCAGCUUGUGUUUUCCCUUUAUUUAAUUCCUGGUCCCUGACCUCCUGCUUCCCCUUCUUUUGCUGUUAAUAGGAUGAAAACUGAUUU